AUGCUGUUAUGGCAUUUUAGUGGGAUCGUUAGCACUUUUGUCUGUUUUCAGGCUGUUUUAUUUCAGAUGAUAGUGUCCUGGUUCGAUUUCUGCGGAAUUUGAAUUCUAGCCGCCAUGAGUAAUCUGGUUAGGCAGAUUCUGGCAAUGGUUGUUGAACAGCUGAAGGGGAGAAAUCCAGCACAGCACUUCAACCCGUGGAAAGGCGAUCAGGAUGGCACUUCUCUGGUUAAAAAAUGGUUUGUUCAGAUUAGGUAGUGAAACCAUUUUU
rnacentral:SRP_RNA from 1 species